ensembl:lncRNA
CUCAUCCACCUGGUCGCCCGGCUGGCCUUCACCCAAUCCCACACUCACCCCCUCACCCAUCCCCACAGUCACCCCCUCACCCACCUGACCGACCGGCUGGCUCUCACCCAAUCCCACAGUCACCCCCUCAUCCACCUGACCGACCAGCUGGCCCUCACUCGUCACCACACUCACCCCCUCACCUGUCGCCACAGUCACCCCCUCACCCACCUGACCGACAGGCUGACCCUCACCCGUUGCCACACUCACCCCCUCAGCGACCGGUUGGGCUUCACCUAUCGCCACACUCACCCUCUCACCCGUCCCUACAGUCACCCCCUCAUCCACCUGACCGACCGGCUCGGCCUCACCCCCUCUCACACUCGCCCCCACAUCCAGCGGAGCGGACGAGAGGUUCCUCUCCGGGCAACCCCUCGCCAGGUGUCCCUCUCCGCCGCAACGGAAACACCUCCCAUCGUCCGAUGUGGCGAACAUGGCGUAGUCAAACCCCUCGAUCCUCACCUUAAUCACCAGGUCGAGGGCCUGGGGUUUGGUGAGGACCAUGUGGAGUUGUCUCCUGUGAGACACCACGUGCCUCAUUAAAGGCGACUUGCAGCCCGAGGACAGCUUUUUAAGCGGGGACACCACCUUCCCGUGUUUGACCAGCUCCUCCAGCAGCACUCCGUCAGGGACGAACGGCGGAACGUUCGCCACCGUCACCCUGACGGCCGGCACCGCGAGCGGAAGAACGGGCACGUGCGCCCCGCGGACCACCACGCCGCUCGCCACCACCUCGCGCGCCUUCUCCACACUAUCUACAAAAAUGACCACCGCGCGGUUCAUCCACGCGGCGGACUUUACGCUCCCGUGCCCAACCAACCCCCCCACGGCCAGACCGCAGUCCUCCACGGAGCACGCGAAGCCCGGCGCGAGCUUCACGCCGUGCUUCCGCGUCAGCCCCGUGAGGUCCGACAUGCCGACCGGCUACAAACGCAGACAAAAACACAUAAAAAGAAAGAAAAGUCACACGUACACACCAACACGCAUUCACCCCACAACGCACACCAGAAACCACGCCGAAAAAUACACGAGAUAACAGAUAGGAAACACAUCCAAACAAUUCACCUCACGCUCCGCAC